CGGGCGUGUGCAUCUAUCUAGGUGAAAUCGGAUGCAUGACAAAAAAUAUCUUUGUAGCUUGACGGCUACACAAAAUUUGUGUAAAAGUUUAACAUAUUGAUUGAUGGGGUAUAUAAAACAUAUUUUUGCCGUUUAUUGUACAUAACAAUUUUUAAAUCUAAACAAAUAGUUGUUUUAGUUAAAUAGAAUGAAAUUCAUGAUUUAUUCCUUUGGUUUUGGGUAGAACUGUUUUUCA
rnacentral:lncRNA from 1 species